UGUUUCAGUGAGACCAAGCGCGAUUAAAAGUAAAGUACAAAAUACUGAACGAGCUGAGUUGUUCAGAUCUUUUGUGCGAGCCACUGAAGCUACGAAGAAAAACGAAAUCUAAGGUCUACACAGUUGAAAGAGUGAUCAGUGAAAGGAAGGGAAAAAAGGGAACUGAGUACUUGAUAAAAUGGAAGGGUUGGCCUAAGUGGACAUGUAGCUUGGAGCCAGCUGAGCACUUAAAUUUUCAUGCUGUCAGAUGUGACGCGUCCUUCCAUCGAGUAGUGGAGAAAACCAAGAACUUCUUACAGAUGUCCAGGACCUAGAACAAAACCAGAGGGACUUCAAAUAUGAAGCAGCUAUGGUAAGGAUUUCAGCCCUUUGAUGGUCAAGCGAUCUCCAUAAUUUACCUGAGAUGAAUUUCAUUCAGCUGCACAAUUGCCCCGUUGUUGCAUGAGAAUAUCGCCACAUUGUGUUGAAAGGAACGCAUUACAGGAAGUACCACAGAAGCUGUUUAGUAUGGUUUAGAAAGCGAGGCAAAGGCUGUAGCCCUCCAGGUAGAGGAGAUUUGUUAUUACUGCUGUUGUUGAUGUGGUACUUGUUGUUGCACCAUAUUCUUCAGUUAAAGUUGU